rnacentral:piRNA from 1 species
UGAAUUGGAGAUAUGCAAUAAGCCUUACA